GACAAAUUCCUUGUGUGCGGCGAAAAGUUCAGCGUCAUCACCAUGUCAAAGGCAGCAUUCUUGGCUUCGAGGCUGUUCGAAGCGUGUGGAAAACAACUCAUGACUGAUUAUCAGUAUCCGCCUUCACUGAUACAGAAGGGAAUCACACUGAUUUGUUUCGUUCUCCGUGCAUGCUACGAAAAAUACCAGAGUGUGAAAUAUGAGGACAUGAAGGAGUUCAAGAACAAAAUUGCGAGCUGUGUCCCUGAAGUAUUUUUA